CUUUAAACAAGCGCAAUGAAGAAGAACAGUGUCGUUUUAGUUGUUAGGGAUGUAUUAGCUAACAUUUAACGUCAGUGUCAUUUUAUGGACUUUGGUUUAUAAAAUAUUGGGAAUGAGUGCAUGUAUGUUUAACAUUUAUGGUCAACAGGCACUGGUUUAUACGUCGAAGUUUUAAACGUUCAACUAACCUCCCCAGCCGGCGUUCGUUGAGCACAGGCGGCGUUAAGUAAAAAGAGGGCCGAUUGCCUUCUCUUGCUUUGCCCAUCACUACUGCCUGGAUGCAAGAUCCUCUCACCAGCGUGACUCUGCAAACUUGAGCACAAGACGUUCCGCGUCCUUUGUCUGCAACAGUCCCUUUAACUCGAUCACACAUACAAUUGUGAAUUCAUGAUCCAAAUUACCCUGCAUAAAUUUGUUAAACCUGCUAUCACUCUCAAUUUUUUAAUUCAGUGACUAGACAAGACGUGAAUCUCAGUUUAUUUAUUUUCUGAUGUUUAUCCUGAAUGAGCGAUAAUUAAUUUGAUUAUGAUAUGAUUUGUGUUACUUUGAGGUACAAAAAUUGACUGCCAAGGAGGAAAAGAAGAUUCUAGCAAAAAAGAGACAAAUAAAAAAAACACUGCCUAUAAAAUGUAUUGACCAUUCUUGGCUUUUUGGCAUAUUUGUUUUCAACAUCAUUAAAUCGAUGGAGGCU